GUUUUGGCUGAGUGGUUUAAAGCAGGUGUUUGCUAAAUACCCGUAUUUUUUAAAAAUACCGUAGGUUCAAAUCCUAUAAAC
rnacentral:tRNA from 1 species